rnacentral:rRNA from 1 species
UACAGAGGUCUCAAGCGUUGUUCGGAUUCAUUGGGCGUAAAGGGUGCGUAGGUGGCGUCGUAAGUCGGGUGUGAAAUUUCGGAGCUUAACUCCGAAACUGCAUUCGAUACUGCGGUGCUUGAGGACUGGAGAGGAGACUGGAAUUUACGGUGUAGCAGUGAAAUGCGUAGAGAUCGUAAGGAAGACCAGUGGCGAAGGCGGGUCUCUGGACAGUUCCUGACACUGAGGCACGAAGGCCAGGGGAGCAAACGGGG